UACGGGGGGUGCGAGCGUUGUCCGGAUUCACUGGGCGUAAAGGGCGCGUAGGCGGCCGGGUCAGUCGGGCUUGUAAGUGCGGGGCUCAACCCCGUGAUGGGCUCGGGACGGCACGGCUGGGGCGCGGCAGAGGGAGACGGAAUGCCGGGUGUAGUGGUGAAAUGCGUAGAGAUCUGGAGGAACACCGAUGGCGAAGGCAGCCCCCUGGGCUAACACUGACGCUCAUGAACGAAAGCGUGGGGAGCAAACAGG
rnacentral:rRNA from 1 species